rnacentral:rRNA from 1 species
CCUACGGGUGGCAGCAGUGAGGAAUAUUGGUCAAUGGGCGCGAGCCUGAACCAGCCAAGUAGCGUUAAGGCUGACUGCCCUACGGGUUGUAAACUUCUUUUAUAAAGGAAUAAAGUGAGGCACGUGUGCCUUUUUGUAUGUACUUUAUGAAUAAGGAUCGGCUAACUCCGUGCCAGCAGCCUCGGUAAUACGGAGGCUCCGAGCGUUAUCCGGAUUUCUUGGGUUUAAAGGGAUAGUAGAUGGUUUGUUAAGUCAGUUGUGAAAGUUUGCGGCUCAACCGUAAAAUUGCAAUUGAUACUGGCAGUCUUGAGUACAGUUGAGGUAGGAGGAAUUCGUGGUGUAGCGGUGAAAUGCUUAGAUAUCACGAAGAACUCCGAUUGCGAAGGCAGCUUACUAAACUGCCACUGACAUUGAUGCUCGAAAGUGUGGGUAUCAAACAGGAUUAGAUACCCCAGUAGUC